GAACUGAAGAGUUUGAUCCUGGCUCAGAUUGAACGCUGGCGGCAUGCCUAACACAUGCAAGUCGAACGGAAACGAUGGAAGCUUGCUUCCAGGCGUCGAGUGGCGGACGGGUGAGUAACGCGUGGGAAUCUGCCUAGUAGUGGGGGACAACCCGAGGAAACUCGGGCUAAUACCGCAUACGCUCUACGGAGGAAAGCGGGGGAUCUUCGGACCUCGCGCUAUUAGAUGAGCCCGCGUCGGAUUAGCUUGUUGGUGGGGUAACGGCUCACCAAGGCUACGAUCCGUAACUGGUCUGAGAGGACGAUCAGUCACACCGGAACUGAGACACGGUCCGGACUCCUACGGGAGGCAGCAGUGGGGAAUAUUGGACAAUGGGGGAAACCCUGAUCCAGCAAUGCCGCGUGUGUGAAGAAGGCCUGCGGGUUGUAAAGCACUUUCAGCAGAGAAGAAAAGCCUGGGGCUAAUAUCCCCGGGUCUUGACGUAACCUGCAGAAGAAGCACCGGCUAACUCCGUGCCAGCAGCCGCGGUAAUACGGAGGGUGCAAGCGUUAAUCGGAAUUACUGGGCGUAAAGCGCGCGUAGGCGGCUUGGUCAGUCGGAUGUGAAAGCCCCGGGCUCAACCUGGGAAUUGCAUUCGAUACUGCCGAACUAGAGUAUGGGAGAGGGAAGUGGAAUUUCCGGUGUA
rnacentral:rRNA from 1 species